GAUGAACGCUGGCGGCGUGCCUAAUACAUGCAAGUCGAGCGAACGGACGAGAAGCUUGCUUCUCUGAUGUUAGCGGCGGACGGGUGAGUAACACGUGGAUAACCUACCUAUAAGACUGGGAUAACUUCGGGAAACCGGAGCUAAUACCGGAUAAUAUUUUGAACCGCAUGGUUCAAAAGUGAAAGACGGUCUUGCUGUCACUUAUAGAUGGAUCCGCGCUGCAUUAGCUAGUUGGUAAGGUAACGGCUUACCAAGGCAACGAUGCAUAGCCGACCUGAGAGGGUGAUCGGCCACACUGGAACUGAGACACGGUCCAGACUCCUACGGGAGGCAGCAGUAGGGAAUCUUCCGCAAUGGGCGAAAGCCUGACGGAGCAACGCCGCGUGAGUGAUGAAGGUCUUCGGAUCGUAAAACUCUGUUAUUAGGGAAGAACAUAUGUGUAAGUAACUGUGCACAUCUUGACGGUACCUAAUCAGAAAGCCACGGCUAACUACGUGCCAGCAGCCGCGGUAAUACGUAGGUGGCAAGCGUUAUCCGGAAUUAUUGGGCGUAAAGCGCGCGUAGGCGGUUUUUUAAGUCUGAUGUGAAAGCCCACGGCUCAACCGUGGAGGGUCAUUGGAAACUGGAAAACUUGAGUGCAGAAGAGGAAAGUGGAAUUCCACGUGUAGCGGUGAAAUGCGCAGAGAUAUGGAGGAACACCAGUGGCGAAGGCGACUUUCUGGUCUGUAACUGACGCUGAUGUGCGAAAGCGUGGGGAUCAAACAGGAUUAGAUACCCUGGUAGUCCACGCCGUAAACGAUGAGUGCUAAGUGUUAGGGGGUUUCCGCCCCUUAGUGCUGCAGCUAACGCAUUAAGCACUCCGCCUGGGGAGUACGACCGCAAGGUUGAAACUCAAAGGAAUUGACGGGGACCCGCACAAGCGGUGGAGCAUGUGGUUUAAUUCGAAGCAACGCGAAGAACCUUACCAAAUCUUGACAUCCUUUGACAACUCUAGAGAUAGAGCUUUCCCCUUCGGGGGACAAAGUGACAGGUGGUGCAUGGUUGUCGUCAGCUCGUGUCGUGAGAUGUUGGGUUAAGUCCCGCAACGAGCGCAACCCUUAAGCUUAGUUGCCAUCAUUAAGUUGGGCACUCUAAGUUGACUGCCGGUGACAAACCGGAGGAAGGUGGGGAUGACGUCAAAUCAUCAUGCCCCUUAUGAUUUGGGCUACACACGUGCUACAAUGGACAAUACAAAGGGCAGCGAAACCGCGAGGUCAAGCAAAUCCCAUAAAGUUGUUCUCAGUUCGGAUUGUAGUCUGCAACUCGACUACAUGAAGCUGGAAUCGCUAGUAAUCGUAGAUCAGCAUGCUACGGUGAAUACGUUCCCGGGUCU
rnacentral:rRNA from 1 species